rnacentral:misc_RNA from 1 species
UGAAUGUCCUUAUAUAUAAGUCUCGUACAACACCACCCUGUUCAGAUUCACCUGACAUCGUGUGUAUUGUCACUACGUUCGUUGUUCUACGAUCGCGACCACCAACUUCGAGUCAUUAACACACCUUGAUUGUGAAAUUCUCAUAACAGUAACGAUGUUCUUAACUAUCCUCGUCCUGGCAUCUCUGAUGGUUCUUCCCCAAACGGAAGGUGGUUGCGGGGAGACCUGGAGCAGAUGCUCUGGCUGGAGCUCCGGGGAACGGGAGACCUUUGGAAGUCCUGCAAUGAACGGUGUAAAGACCUUGGCAAGUCCGGUGGAACAUGUGUUAAGAGGGAUGUUUCAGGCAAGGCCUACCAAUGUGUUUGCAACUAGCGGAAGUAAAACGGAUCCGUUUUGAUAAUAGUAUGGACCGGAGUGUCCAAACUUGUAUUCAGUUGUAAGGCAAAUCUGCCCUUGUGCUUUGUCUGUUAACUAGCCUAACACAAGAUACCUGGCAUUUAGUGUCGAAAACCCUUCUUUUACAUAUGAAUGUAAAGUUAGUAAAUAAAACAAAUACAUACAUUU